CCUACGGGAGGCAGCAGUGAGGAAUAUUGGUCAAUGGCCGGAAGGCGGAACCAGCCAAGUCGCGUGAAGGAAGAAGGAUCUAUGGGUUGUAAACUUCUUUUAUAGGGGAAUAAAGGGAGACACGUGUGGAGAUUUGCAUGUACCCUAUGAAUAAGCAUCGGCUAACUCCGUGCCAGCAGCCGCGGUAAUACGGAGGAUGCGAGCGUUAUCCGGAUUUAGUGGGUUUAAAGGGUGCGUAGGUUGUUUUUUAAGUCAGCGGUGAAAGUUUGUGGCUCAACCAUAAAAUUGCCGUUGAAACUGGAAGACUUGAGUGUGUUUGAGGUAGGCGGCAUGCGUGGUGUAGCGG
rnacentral:rRNA from 1 species